CUGGCUCAGAUUGAACGCUGGCGGCAUGCCUUACACAUGCAAGUCGAACGGCAGCACGGGUGCUUGCACCUGGUGGCGAGUGGCGAACGGGUGAGUAAUACAUCGGAACAUGUCCUGUAGUGGGGGAUAGCCCGGCGAAAGCCGGAUUAAUACCGCAUACGAUCUACGGAUGAAAGCGGGGGACCUUCGGGCCUCGCGCUAUAGGGUUGGCCGAUGGCUGAUUAGCUAGUUGGUGGGGUAAAGGCCUACCAAGGCGACGAUCAGUAGCUGGUCUGAGAGGACGACCAGCCACACUGGGACUGAGACACGGCCCAGACUCCUACGGGAGGCAGCAGUGGGGAAUUUUGGACAAUGGGCGAAAGCCUGAUCCAGCAAUGCCGCGUGUGUGAAGAAGGCCUUCGGGUUGUAAAGCACUUUUGUCCGGAAAGAAAUCCUUGGCUCUAAUACAGUCGGGGGAUGACGGUACCGGAAGAAUAAGCACCGGCUAACUACGUGCCAGCAGCCGCGGUAAUACGUAGGGUGCGAGCGUUAAUCGGAAUUACUGGGCGUAAAGCGUGCGCAGGCGGUUUGCUAAGACCGAUGUGAAAUCCCCGGGCUCAACCUGGGAACUGCAUUGGUGACUGGCAGGCUAGAGUAUGGCAGAGGGGGGUAGAAUUCCACGUGUAGCAGUGAAAUGCGUAGAGAUGUGGAGGAAUACCGAUGGCGAAGGCAGCCCCCUGGGCCAAUACUGACGCUCAUGCACGAAAGCGUGGGGAGCAAACAGGAUUAGAUACCCUGGUAGUCCACGCCCUAAACGAUGUCAACUAGUUGUUGGGGAUUCAUUUCCUUAGUAACGUAGCUAACGCGUGAAGUUGACCGCCUGGGGAGUACGGUCGCAAGAUUAAAACUCAAAGGAAUUGACGGGGACCCGCACAAGCGGUGGAUGAUGUGGAUUAAUUCGAUGCAACGCGAAAAACCUUACCUACCCUUGACAUGGUCGGAAUCCCGCUGAGAGGUGGGAGUGCUCGAAAGAGAACCGAUACACAGGUGCUGCAUGGC
rnacentral:rRNA from 1 species